CAGUAGCCGCGGGAAUACAGAGGGUGCGAGCGUUAAUCGGAUUUACUGGGCGUAAAGCGUGCGUAGGCGGCUAAUUGCGUCGGAUGUGAAAUCCCCGAGCUUAACUUGGGAAUUGCAUUCGAUACUGGUUAGCUAGAGUGUGGGAGAGGAUGGUAGAAUUCCAGGUGUAGCGGUGAAAUGCGUAGAGAUCUGGAGGAAUACCGAUGGCGAAGGCAGCCAUCUGGCCUAACACUGACGCUGAGGUACGAAAGCAUGGGGAGCAAACAGGAUUAGAUACCCCCGUAGUCCCUGUCUCUUAUAC
rnacentral:rRNA from 1 species